GCAACACUGGCUGUCCCAGAACAGGCCAUCAUUUCUAUAUGAAUACAAAUCCAGGAGGAAGAUUGAUUAGAUUCUCUGACUUCCAAGUGUGCAAAUGAUCAAAGCUUGCCAGUUCAGAAAUUAGGGCAUCUUGGAUGAAGAACCUCCUCCAAUAAUUAACUCAUAUUUACACAGUUUAUUGAUCACCUGAAAUAUCCAACUUUUUUUUUUUCUUCCUUCUGUACUUAGUCAUGGUUUAAUUUAAAACAAGAUUUCUUGCUCUUUCCGUGCUUAGCACAGCCAUGGCCCAUGGUCCCAAGAAGCAUCUGAAGCGUGUAGCAGCUCCAAAGCAUUGGAUGCUGGAUAAGCUGACCAGUGUGUUUGCUCCUCGUCCAUCCACCGGUCCCACAAGCUGAGAGAGUGUCUCCCACUCAUCAUUUUCCUAAGAAACAGGCUUAAGUAUGCCCUGACAGGAGAUGAAGUGAAGAAGAUCUGCAUGCAGUGCUUCAUUAAAAUCGAUGACAAGGUCCAAACUGAUAUAACCUACCCUGCUGGAUUUAUGGAUGUCAUCAGCAUUGACAAGACUGGAGAGAAUUUCCGUCUGAUUUAUGACACCAAGGGUCGCUUUGCUGGUCAUCGUAUCACACCUGAGGAGGCCAAGUACAAGUUGUGCAAAGUGAGAAAAAUCUUUGUGGGCACAAAAGGAAUCCCUCAUCUGGUGACUCAUGAUGCUCGUACCAUCCGCUAUCCUGAUCCACUCAUCAAAGUGAAUGACACCAUUCAGAUGGAUUUGGAGACUGGCAAGAUUACUGAUUUCAUCAAGUUUGACACUGGUAACCUGUGUAUGGUGACUGGAGGUGCUAACCUGGGAAGAAUUGGUGUGAUCACCAACAGAGAAAGACAUCCCGGGUCUUUUGAUGUGGUUCACGUGAAAGAUGCCAAUGGCAACAGCUUUGCCACUCGCCUCUCCAACAUUUUCGUUAUUGGCAAAGGCAACAAACCAUGGAUUUCUCUUCCUCGAGGAAAAGGUAUCUGUCUCACCAUUGCUGAAGAGAGGGAUAAGAGACUGGCAGCCAAACAGAGCAGUGGGUGAAAUGGUCUCCAUGUAACAUAAUAACAUGUUAAAAAGUUA